rnacentral:rRNA from 1 species
UACCUGGCUCAGGAUGAACGCUAGCGGAAGGCCUAACACAUGCAAGUCGAGCGGUAUUUGGUAGCUUGCUACUAGAGAGAGCGGCGUACGGGUGCGUAACAUGUGUGCAACCUACCCUUAUCAAGGGAUAGCCAUUCGAAAGGAUGAUUAAUACCCUAUAAUAUAUCAGGUGGCAUCAUUUGAUAUUGAAAGCUACGGUGGAUAAGGAUGGGCACGCACAAGAUUAGCUAGUUGGUAAGGUAACGGCUUACCAAGGCGAUGAUCUUUAGGGGUCCUGAGAGGGAGAUCCCCCACACUGGGACUGAGACACGGCCCAGACUCCUACGGGAGGCAGCAGUGAGGAAUAUUGGACAAUGGGUGGGAGCCUGAUCCAGCCAUUCCGCGUGCAGGAAGAAGGUCUUAUGGAUUGUAAACUGCUUUUAUAUAGGGAUAAACCUACUCUCGCGAGGGUAGCUGAAGGUACUAUAUGAAUAAGCACCGGCUAACUCCGUG